GCCCUCUCCAUAGCUCAGUCGGUAGAGCAUGAGACUCUUCAUCACAGGGUCUUGGGUUCGAGCCCCAUGUUGGGCA
rnacentral:tRNA from 1 species